rnacentral:rRNA from 1 species
UACGUAGGGUGCGAGCGUUAAUCGGAAUUACUGGGCGUAAAGCGUGCGCAGGCGGUUUUGUAAGACAGAUGUGAAAUCCCCGGGCUUAACCUGGGAACUGCAUUUGUGACUGCAAGACUAGAGUGUGUCAGAGGGGGGUGGAAUUCCACGUGUAGCAGUGAAAUGCGUAGAGAUGUGGAGGAACACCGAUGGCGAAGGCAGCCCCCUGGGAUAACACUGACGCCUCAGGCGACGAAAGCGUGGGGAGCGAACAGG